rnacentral:lncRNA from 13 species
AUGACAAAGCUGAAAGAGCCCAUUGUAACACACCCACUUGGGCUUUGGGAGUUGCAGACACCCACCCCUAGACACUACUGGUGGCGAAGGUGGAGCCCAAAGCACUUGCCCCAGCUCCUGCAUCUGGCCCGUUUGUGUGCUCCCACUCCCGUAAAAGAUUUGAGCUCCCAGCAGCUGAACAGAGUGCAACACCCCUGUCACAUGUCCUGCAAGAAGCAGGGGCCAGGGAACUCUCCCACCUCAAAGCUGUCUUCUUGGGGUCCGUGGAACUGAAUCUUUGAUGAAGUGUAGAAAAGAGAUGAAGACUGUGUCAGAGGAAAUAAUUUAUCAAAAGUAAUUGUAAGAGUUUGUCAGUACUGGCAAGAGAAAGUUCUGUAUUAUCUAGUUUCAGUCUGAAUGACUUUCAGCCUUAAGACCUCCAACAGCAAGGCAAAAGAAUUGAGGAACCUGAAGUUACUCCCACCGCCCACCCACCUACUCCACUGCAUGGAGAGAGAAAAAUGAGAUGAAGCUGAUUGGGAGCUGGGAGGCUGCAGGGGGCCAUGUGGCAAGGAAGAACAGGGAGGAAUAUCAGAAACAAAGGUGACGUUCUUGUCAUCCUAGGAGGAGAUAUGUACGUGCUGAUGGACUCUAGCUUUUGACUUUAACUUUUAUUUCAAGUUCAGGGAUACAUGUGAAGCUUUGUUAUAUAGGUAAAUUCAUGUCCUGUGGGUUUGUUGAACAGAUUAUUUCAUUACUGAGGUAUUAAGCCUAGUACCCAUUAGUUAUUUUUCCUGAUGCUCUCCCACCUCUCAUCCUCCAUCCUCCAAUAGGUCCCAGUUUCUGUUUUUCUGCUCUAUGUAUGUGUUCUCAUUGUUUAGCUCCCACUUAUAGGUGAGAACAUGUAGUUUCGAUUUUCUGUUGCUGUGUUAGUUUGCUAAGAAUAAUCACCUCCAGCUCCAUCUAUGUUCCUGCAAAGGACAUGAUCUCAGUUUUUCUUAAUGGCUGCCUAGUAUUCCAUGGUGUAUAUGAACCAUAUUUUCUUUGUCCAGUCUACCACUGUGAGCAUUUAGGUUGAUUCCUUGUUUUUACUGUUUUGAAUAGUGCUGCAAUAAACAUACACAUGCAUGUGUCUUUAUGACUGAA